UUAGGGAUUUGAUUUAUAAUUAGGGUUUUGAUUUCUAAUUAGGAUGCCGAUUUCUAACAAGGGUUUUGAUUUCUUCCUCGGGGUUAGGUUUUCAGAAUACAUGACUUCAUCACUGAAAUUCGAUGGCACCAAAGAAGGAGAAAGCUCAACGAAUCUGAAGCACCCAAUUUUCUGCAAUUUGGUUAGGUGGCUGCGAGAUCGGGAUGGGGAUGUAGUUGGAGAAGAGUCGGUUGCAACACCUAACAAAAUCAUUAAGCUGUUGCAUUAGGAGCCGUGUUAGGUGUUUAUGAAGACAAUAGGUUUAAGUCAGAUUCAAAGAAGCCAUUGCUCAAGUCCGUAGAUAUUGUUGGUCUUGGUGUUGGACCUGAACUUGAAAACAAGCUCAAAUAUGCUAGUGAUGUUUGCUCAGGGGUUAUUUUUGGGCGAGAACUAGUGAAUGCACCAGCGAAUGU